rnacentral:rRNA from 1 species
AAUAGAUACCCUGGUAGUCCACGCCCUAAACGAUGUCAACUGGUUGUUGGGUCUUCACUGACUCAGUAACGAAGCUAACGCGUGAAGUUGACCGCCUGGGGAGUACGGCCGCAAGGUUGAAGCUCAAAGGAAUUGACGGGGACCCGCACAAGCGGUGGAUGAUGUGGUUUAAUUCGAUGCAACGCGAAAAACCUUACCCACCUUUGACAUGUACGGAAGUUGCCAGAGAUGGCUUCGUGCUCGAAAGAGAGCCGUAACACAGGUGCUGCAUGGCUGUCGUCAGCUCGUGUCGUGAGAUGUUGGGUUAAGUCCCGCAACGAGCGCAACCCUUGCCAUUAGUUGCUACGAAAGGGCACUCUAAUGGGACUGCCGGUGACAAACCGGAGGAAGGUGGGGAUGACGUCAAGUCCUCAUGGCCCUUAUAGGUGGGGCUACACACGUCAUACAAUGGCCGGUACAGAGGGUCGCGAAGCCGCGAGGUGGAGCCAAUCCCAUAAAACCGGUCGUAGUCCGGAUCGCAGUCUGCAA